AACGAUUUUAGAUGAGGCUGCUAAAUCAAAUAACUUAGCUAUGGUUCAAGAGCAAAACGCCACACACACAAAAUCCCUAAUUGGAAUUAAAAAAGAAACCUCUCCCUCGGUGAUUCAAGAAAAAUGAAAAACCUCUACGUUUGCGGUCUCUGUCCUUGUCCCUAUCCCCUAUCCUUGACCCUUUCACGGUCGUCGUCGCGGUCGCGGCAGUUGAAGUCAGUGGAGGGUUUGGAAUCGGCAACGAAAUCGGAGGAAGGUCGAUUACGAAAAAAGAGCUACUCUUGGCGGCGCUUCUGGUUGGUGAUUUUCCUCCUGGCGGCACUGGAGUGCCAAUUGCUCGCGCUGAGCUUUGAUAAGGGAGACAGUCUUGGAUGCUGCGGCAUAGUUGGUGGCUAGCCGCUACAUCCUUCCCCGUCACAGAUCCGCUCAAGCUCCCACAUAGCUCUUGCGCACGAAAGAAAAGUGGAGAGGCACGUCCGUUGUUCGUCCCUCCAUUGUGAAUGCCCCGGUAUUGUCAUCCUCAACCUUCCCCCUUGCUCUGUUGUGCACCGCUCGAACGCACCCUUUCCCCACUUCCUGGUUUGCUUUUUCCCCAUUUUUUCAUGUUCCAAUUUUAUCUUGUCUUCGUACGUUAGUUUCAAUUCAAUCAUUUUGCUUCUUGAUUGAAUAUCUUUGCAUCAAUUUAGUUUAAUUUUGCUUGUUUCCAAUUUGUUUGCUAUUUUGGUUCGAACCCUAGUCGGAUAAAAUUUUGCCCCAAUUUAGCGACUGAUAAUAUUCUCUGCCUUUCUUGAUCUUUGUCUUUCUACAUAAUUUCUUCAGCUCGAGUCUCAUGAAAAAUUCUAUUACUAUGCAAUCUGAUCUUGGUAUCUAUUUUUACCUUUUCUAAAUUGACAUUAAUAAUAGAUUCUUAUUAGAAUCUAUAUCGUAGCUAUCAAUAUGGUAGUUUUUAUAUUGAUCUAUGGUUUAAUCACUAAAAAUCAAGCUGUUUAUUUUUAUAAUGUAAUUGAAAUAGGAAAAACUUAGAGAUGGUCAUAUGAAGAGGAAAACUGUGUGUUAACUCUCCUCACUAAUUGGCACCAAAAAUAAUGUUAAUAGUCCAUAUUGUAGGAAAUUGUUUCCAAACAUUUCCUUUCCAAGGAAUGGGAAUGAUAUUAAGUUAGGUUUUAGGGAUGAUGACGAAAAAUUGUUAAGAUGCAAAACAGUUUGCACCACUCCAAAGGUUUUUAGGUUUCCAUCAUAUAAUUCACACUUUUUCAAAUCACUAGUGUUCGCUUAAUUAGACUCUUAAACAGCUUAAACUUACUAAACUGCUUCUCAAUUUCCAGAGGCACAAAGUUCACAUCAAGAAAUGAAUUUGUGUAUUUAUUCAUAAAUUUGAUUCAUGAACUAAUUCACUCUUGUACAAUUAUUUCUUUUCUCACCUUUUGACCCAGUUAAGGGCAGAAUGUUCCCUAUCUUAAUCAUUCCAGUAACAAAGUUAGAAGCAAAGGCCUUAUUAUUCUGACUAUAGGCCUUAACAAGUGAAUCAGUGGAUCCACCAUUGAAGAGUUCUUGAUCAGAAUGAAGGAAACCCUUUUUGUUGAUGAAGUUCUUGUAGUAGUUGUUCUCAAAAUGUGUGGGUGUUUGUAGGUCUAAGGGUGCUAAAUUGUUAUCUUCUAUGCCAUUAUUAAGUGAAAAGCUACUUUUUUCUAUUUUUACCCCCUCUUUUUUCAUUUACCUUCAAGUUGUUCUUUUUCAUGUUUGUAAUCUUUCUAUCUGUCUAUGUUUCUGACAAAGAAGGUUUUCUUCCCUUCAACUCUAAGUUUGUAAAUCAUACUCUCUUUUUCUUUUUUUACCAUUUUUCAUUGCAAUAUUCACUUCAUAGUUUAUAUAUAUGGUUGCGUAUAUUAAAAGCUUAUAAAUUCUUUGCUUCUUGGUUUGUUUUGUUGAUUUGUUAUGUGAAAGAGUGAAUUUUUGGCCAAAUUCUUUCAUGGGGUCACUUCAUGUAAAGUGUGAGGAAUUCUCAGUUGUUGAAAAAGAAAAAUUAUGAUUCUUAAAGCUAAAACCUUGUCAUGUACUCCAAAGCAAGUGCACGAAAAGUGAUGGUAAAAGAUGAUAUAGAAGGAGACCCUUCUCUGUAUCUGAAGUAGAAGCACUUGUGGAUGCAAUUGAGGAACUUGGAACUGGAAGGGGGCGUUGUGUAGAGUUGCGUGCUUUUGAGAAUGCAGACCAUAGAACUUAUGUAGACCUUAAGGUAUAUACAGCAAAAUAUUUGCUACUUUUGUGUUGCUGCCUUUGAACUAAUUAGUUUAUUAUUGCACCAAAUCCAUUCUUCAUUGAGGUAUGAUAAUUUAUCACUUCGACAGUUUUAAAAAAAACUUAAAUAGCUUAUACAUAUCCCACUUGUGUUGAUGCAUGUAUUAUAUAAAAACCCAUGGCAAUGCUUUGUAAAUUCAUGUUAUCUUGCAUUUGUCUUAUCAUAUAAUUAUAUAUUUCACGUGAAAUGUAAAUGUGUGAACAAGCCAAAAGAGAUCCAAAACCAUUGCACCGUGCUGCCAAUGGUGACUAUCCACAAGAGGUAUUGACUUUAAAACCCCAUAUCUUGCAUUCUGUAUAUCAUUUAAAUUGUUAAAAUACUAAAAGAAAUCAACUAUCAAUGUUAACAGUGGCUAAAAAUUCCUGUAACUAUAGACUCAACAUAGAUUAUAGUGCAUUACAUAAGUUAACAGUGGCUAAAAAUUCAUGUAACUAUAAAUUUUGUGUUGCUACUUGCUAGAUGAACCAAGCUCCUAGUGUAUUAUCUAAUUUGGAUCUUUAAUAUGGUCAUUACUAGAUGAAGAAAUGCGACAUAUUGACCAGGGAACUCAAUCCCUUCCCUCCAUAUUGCUUUCCUAAUGUAUACCCUUUUAAAUAUGAUGUUCUUAGGAGAUGUUACACACAUGACUUUCCUUUCCUGUACUUGUUUAUGUUACUUCCACCAAUUAAGGUUAUUUUGCUACUUUGUUUUAGAAGGAGUUUUACUUGUAGCUGACCCUACCGAGUAUGUUGAAUUAGGAAUCACCGGUUAAUUUUGUUAGACUUCUAUCAAUUUCUUCAGAAAGGUAUUCAGGUAUUAUAUUUGAAAAUUUGGCAUGUGUAUGUACCGAAGUGUGACCCUACUCUUACUAUGUGAUCAGCCCCCAUCAACUGGACAUUAAAUUUGCUGCAGUGGUUCAGGCUUGCCAUGACAAGAUAUGAAGCUCAACUCCAAAAGUUCUGUAACUUAAUGAAUUUUGUUUUUGAUUCGCCUACACCUGAAGCUUUGCAUGGGAGUGCUUCUACAGUUAACCGGUUGAAGUAUAAAUUGGAGAUCUUCUAAGUUUUGGGCUCAGCUCCUGCGGCGUACACUCUCCUUGGGACAAAAAGGCAUAGUGUAAGAUUUACUUUCUCCAGAUCAGUUUUAAUUUCGUUGGAACCGGAACUUCAUCUUCUCAAAUGGAUGCUUAUCUGUUGACGUUUACUCUGAUUUUGACUAUAAUACAUCAUUACUUGUAAAGGAUUUGAUGGAGUUGUUACUGUCUCCAAUCUCAAAAGUCCUGGACAUGAUGUGAGGUUGUCAUCUGCUUAAUUACUAUUUACAUAAAUUUUUAACUUUCAGUUAAAUCUGUUCCCGAGAUUGAUGAUGUUGAACAUUUUAGUGAACUUAAUUGAUUAUUCUUAUUUGAGUGAGACAA